rnacentral:rRNA from 1 species
UACAUGCAAGUCGAACGCAUUGUGGUUGAAAUGAUAUGAAGAACUUGUUCAGAUUUGAUUUUCAACAUUGCAAUGAGUGGCGAACGGGUGAGUAACACGUGGGAAACCUACCUCUUAGCAGGGAUAACAUUUGGAAACAAAUGCUAAUACCGUAUAAUAAUUAAAACCGCAUGGUUUUAGUUUAAAAGAUGGUCUUGCUAUCACUAAGAGAUGGUCCCGCGGUGUAUUAGUUAGUUGGUGAGGUAAUGGCUCACCAAGACAAUGAUACAUAGCCGAGUUGAGAGACUGACCGGCCACAAUGGGACUGAGACACGGCCCAUACUCCUACGGGAGGCAGCAGUAGGGAAUCUUCCACAAUGGACGAAAGUCUGAUGGAGCAACGCCGCGUGUGUGAUGAAGGGUUUCGGCUCGUAAAACACUGUUGUAAGAGAAGAAUGACAUUGAGAGUAACUGUUCAAUGUGUGACGGUAUCUUACCAGAAAGGAACGGCUAAAUACGUG